AAAAUAUUAGUAUUUAAAUCCCUUUUUUAUAUUAAUAUUUAAACAUUUUGUUUUGUUUAUUAUGAAACAUUAUUAUUUUAACAUUUAUCUUAUUUUAAAUUUGAUUUUAAUUCAAGUUAAUUCAUUUAUUUUUUUAACAGAGAUGAUUUAAAUUCUAAAAAUAACUAAAAAUAUUAAAACAGUGUAUUACUUAAAAUAUUAAGUAAUUCAUUGAACUAGAUCUGUAGUAUUAUUAAGAAAGGAGCUGUUUUUUAUUUUAUAUUUAAAUAUUACAUCAAAUCAUUUUUCUAUUAAUAUUUUAAACUUUUAGUUAUUUAUUAUUAAAGCACUAUUUUAACAUUUAUCUUCAUUUAAACUGAAUUCUUAUUUAAGUUAAAUUAAUUUAUCUUAACAGGUAUUAUUUAAAUUCAGAAAAAUUAAGCGUUUAGUUAUUAAAAAAUGUAAAUAGUUAAUAUUGCAAAAUAGGAUUUUUAAUACACUGAACUAGACAUGUAGUCAGACACAUAUAUACAUUAUUUAGAAAGCAAUUGUUUUAUUUAUUUUACAUUAAAAUGUUGUAAAAUUACUUUUAAUUAAUAUCAUGGGAAAUGUGACCCUGUCUAUGGCAACUGCACCUGUGAGGAGGGCUGGUGGACGUCCACUUGCUCCAAAGCCUGUCAGUGCCACCUUGCCACUUCCACUUGUGACCAAGCCACAGGACGCUGCCUGUGUAACAAAGGCUUCUGGGGCCAAAGGUGCAGCCUGCGAUGCAACUGCUAUGUGUCCCCUUGCCAGCAGCACACAGGGACCUGUCAGUGCCAGCGUGGCUGGUGGGGUCCGUCCUGUGAUCGCCGCUGCAUUUGUAAUCUCAGCCAUGCGGACUGUGACGUGCAAACUGGCACCUGUCUGUGCUACCCUGGUUACAAAGAGCCAUUUUGCAAUGAGCCUUGUGACAGUGGAAAGUAUGGCAGUGGCUGUAGGAAAAGAUUUGGUUUCCUGACGCCGUCCAGUCUUACUAGGAGCUCUGGUUCUCAGCCUUCCGGCCUUCCAACAUCCAGCUCCACAUGGGAAAUCCUUGAUCCAGACGAGCAAGGAGGCGAGGAGGAGACACAGACCCUCAGCUCCUCUUGAGAACCACCGCAGCUGCUACUCAUCUUCACCUGGGUUGGAAGAGAGAAGUUCAACGGACUACUCUUGUAUUUGGUUAUACAAACAUAGUAUUAAUAGUUGUUCCCUAAGCAACCUUUUUCUCAGUAUAAAAUCAUUCAGCACUUGGCUUUUGUUAAUUGGCUGAUAGCUAGAUUUGUGGCUGAUGGUCACUCAGUGUCACAGAUGACCUGAAGAUGAGAUCAGAUUGUUGCAGUCAUAUACAUAUUAUUAUUGUUUGUUGUUUACCAUUUAAAAAUGUAGGGUCAGUAAGAAUUUUUAAUGUUUUUGAAAAAAAUCUUUUAAUCACCAAGGCUGCAUUUAUUCGGUAAAAAAAGCUUUAAUUUUACAAUAACUAUUUUUAAUUUUAAUAUAUUUUUAAAUGUCAUUUUUACCCUGUAAUGCUGGAUUUUACUUCAGUCUUCAGUGUCACAUAGUCCUUCAGAAAUCUUUAAUUUCUUAUUAUUACAGUUGAAAACGCUUAUGCUGCUUUUUUGUGGAAACAUUUUUUCGGGAUUCUCUGAUUAAUAGAAAUUUCAAAAGAUACUGCAGCUUUUGAUCAAUUUAAUGCAUACUUGCUAAAUAAAAGUAAUCAUUUCUUAGAAAAAGAGAAAGUCUUACUUACCCCAAACUUUUGAACAGUAGGGUAUAUACAGUUAAAGAUUAACUGUUGAUUUUUUUUCACUUUCUCCUAUCCGAGUUUAAUAUGCAAAGCCAGCUGUUAGUAAUACAUUUUGUUGAUUUGCCAAAGAGUAUAAACAAAGGUUUUGUGGCACUUUCAAAGCAUUGCUGUUUCGGGGCCCAACAUGUCCACUUAUAGCUUAAGCAAUGGCAAGCAUUUGGGGCAAGGCUACCUGUAAUAAGCUGUUUAUCGGGAAAUUGACUACGAAGGGAUGGGUGGAAGGGUUUGAAACAAUCAUUAUUGUCAUUUCACUUGGUAGUGCAAAUGACAGCAGACUGGUGCACUUAAAAACAUGGGAAUAAUCUGCAGUGUUUUGAUAAUCAUAAUACACCUGGCAUUAUAUUAUAGAUGUCUGGAUGGAAGCUACAUAGAAUUAUAGUACCUUAGCCUUUAUGUCACUAGGGGGCAUUAGAGUAUUUUGUAUUCAUGUUCUGCUGUCCUUAAAAAGUGUCCAUUUUCUAUCUAUUUUUAAGGAUAUUUAGCAUGUUUUUUAAUAGAAAUAUUUUAAUACUGGCAGAUAACAUAUGAUAUUAUUAAUGUACAGUUAGUUCUGUGAUGUCCAUGAUUGUCAACCUGAUGUUAAAAAAAGCAUGUAAACAUGUAAGAAAAAAAGAUGCAAAUUUAUUGUUUGAAUGUCAUCUUUUAUUCACUCUCGUGUUGUUCCAACUUUGUAUGAAUCUUUUGCAGAACACAAAAGAAUAUAUUUUGAAGAAUGUUGGGGUGAGUAAAUGAUGACAAGUAUUGUUUUUUUUUUUUUUUUGGUACCUUUUUUAAUGUAGCUAUAAGGCUAAAUAAAAUCCAGAGGUGGUGUUGUGACAUUUGUGUGUGUGUGUACUUUGUUUUUUAUAUUUGUAUUUUAAUGUAUAAUGUAACUCUCGUUGUUGUUCCUAAAUUUGUUAUGACUUCUUUUGCAGAACAACAAAAGAAUAUUAUUUUGAAGAAUGGUUGGGGUGAGUAAAUGAUGACAGUUAAUUUGUUUUAUUUUUUUUUUUGGUGAACUACCUUUUUAAUGAGCUAUAAGGCUAAAUAAAAUCCAGAGGUGGUGUUGUGACUUUUGUGUGUGUGUGACUUUGUUUUUUUAUAUUUGUAUUUUAAUGUAUAAAUUUAAUUGGUAAGGAUGAGAAAAUGUUGGCAGACACAUUGACCAUUAAAAAUACCCAACUCCUCCCACAAAAUUCUGGGCCUUGAUUUUGUCUUUAAACAACCAGUGGCUUAUUGAAUUAGAGGAAGCUGGCUUUUCUUCCUCAGGAAACUUGCAGAGGAAACAGGGAUUUUAAGAGCCCAUUUUGCUAUAGAGACUGGACUAGAUCUUCUCUGUUCUAGAAGUACAGAACUAACCUGUACUGGUGCUGUGGCAGGAGAGGGGGUCCGGUUUUGGUCGGUCCGGAGGGGAUGGACAUCUUUCUGACCUCAUUUGGACUGAUGCUCAUGUGUGUUCAAUGCUCAGCUCAGAGACUCUCUCUGACCGGGAAAAAUGUCUGCCUCAGUGUCAGGUACUGAAGUAUCUUUGUCUCAGAUGUUUCUCCAUGAACUCUUAAGGAAAAAUAAAAGU
rnacentral:lncRNA from 1 species